UACGUAGGGAGCGAGCGUUGUCCGGAAUUACUGGGUGUAAAGGGAGCGUAGGCGGGGAUGCAAGUUGGGUGUUAAAUCUACCGGCUCAACUGGUAGUCGCACUCAAAACUGCAGCUCUUGAGUGAAGUAGAGGCAGGCGGAAUUCCUAGUGUAGCGGUGAAAUGCGUAGAUAUUAGGAGGAACACCAGUGGCGAAGGCGGCCUGCUGGGCUUUUACUGACGCUGAGGCUCGAAAGUGUGGGGAGCAAACAGG
rnacentral:rRNA from 1 species